rnacentral:rRNA from 1 species
GACGAACCGUGCGAACGUUAUUCGGAAUCACUGGGCUUAAAGCGCGUGUAGGCGGAUGGGGAAACGUCGGGAAACCUGAAAGCCCCCGGCUCAACCCGGGGAAGUGGGGCCGAAACGACCCGUCUGGGAGGGACGUAGGGGGACCUGGGAACUUCCCGGGUGGGAGCGGUGAAAUGCGUUGAAGAUCGGGAAGGGAACGCCCGUGGCGAAAGCGAGGGUCCCUGG